rnacentral:tRNA from 1 species
CGUGAAUUGGUGUAAUGGUAACAUUGGUGACUCAUGAUCACUAGAUAUUGGUUCAAAUCCUUUAUUCACAC